rnacentral:tRNA from 1 species
GGCCUGGUGUAGUGGAUAACAUUUUUGGCUCACAAUCUACUAACGCGGGUUCAAUUCCCGCUCAGGCCA